CGCCCACUGAGUGGUAGCAUUGGUGUCAGUGUGAAUGCUGCGACAGAACACACAAAAACACCUUUAAAACCAGAACGAGCAUUGCGAUUGACUGUACAAAGAGAUUUGACAAGAAACCUGAGAGUAUCCACUGGUGAGCAAGUGAAAUAAUGAGACAUUUCUCCAAACCUGAUGAAGAAACAAACUCAUCAACUGCAUGAGGAUCAGCUUCACUCCACGAGUGUUUCCCAAAGUGCUGAGAGAGUCUGGUGUCCUGGAGGAGGAAGAGUGGCGGAAGAAGCAGGCGGAGGCCAGGAGAGCAGUGAACACAGAUCUGGCCAAACUGGAUGACCUGAGAGAGGAAGAGAAAAACCCAGACUGGUAGAAAGAGAAGGGCA